CUGGUCCGCCAGCAUGCCUACAGCAUGGCCCUGGGGGAGGACUACCGCAGCCUGGUCAUCGGCCUGCAGUAUGGAGGGCUGCCUGCUGUCAACUCUCUCUACUCCGUCUACAACUUCUGCAGCAAGCCCUGGGUGUUCUCUCAGCUCAUUAAGAUCUUCCAUUCCCUGGGUCCUGAGAAGUUCCCGCUUGUGGAGCAAACAUUUUUCCCCAACCAUAAGCCAAUGGUCUCACCCUCCUUACCCUAGUCCUGGCCCUGAUCAUCCAGCUCUGUUCCCCUCCAGGGUACAUGCUCUUAACCACCCCACUAUGUGGCCUCUCCCAGUCAAGGGCACCAUCAGGAUUCAAAGAGCUUUGAAGGAGGUGACUUAUACUGGGAGCUGGAUGAGAAGGAAGAUUGCAAAGAGGCUCCCAGGGGAUGGCUCUGGCAAAAUACCAAGAAAAAAGUUUAUAAAGCGUUUAAAUAAACCUGUGAAAGACAAGACAGAUA
rnacentral:sRNA from 1 species